GAGCCGGAGCCGCCCCGCCCCUGGAUCCGCUCGCCGCUGGUCGCCGACGGAGCUGCCCCGCCCCUGGAUCCGCUCGCCACCGGAGCCGCCCGUCGCUCUCCCACUCAGCUUGGCCUCUCGAGUUGCAGCCUACUGCUUGCAAUCACUGAAAAAGAAAUUGCUUUGCCAGAGCGUGCAUGGAUGUGGAGGGUGUAGUGUUGCCGUUUGAUUCAGAGUGGAGAAUGUAUGGAGCUCCCAAGUCUGACCCCUCUACCAGUGUUAAAGUUAACAAUAACUAGGAUGCACUCAGAAUACUCAUGUAUUUGUUUCCCAUAUUAUUAUCAAUCCAAGGAUCGAAGAUUGUUUCCCAUAUUAUUAUCAAUCCAAGGAUCGAAGAAGAAAAAAAGGGACAUAGCAAAAUUGACUUUAGAGAGCUGGACCAGGAUAUACAAAAAUGAUCACACUUAGGGCAGAAUAAUGAUGAAGCCCCGUGCUUUUUUAAUCCAGAGGUCACUUCUGACCUGGCUAAG